CGUUGACAGAUUUAUGCUCUCCUUGGUGCUAUGAAAGUUAAGUUGAAUUUUUGAAGAAUAAUAAAGUGACUAACUCUGUAAUGCCAGUUUUAAAUUUCAAGUCUUCCAACGUUUUUUUUCUAGAUUGCUGAAGCUGGGUAAGAGAUAUCUCUUCACAAACUCUCUCAAAGAGGUUACAUUUUGGUUACAUCUAAUACUUAUGGGACUGAUGGUGGAACACAAUAUCACCAAGGAAUGAUUCUUCGGAAGAUUUUCAUUGUUUCUCUGUUUCUGUUGCACUUUCUGGACCGACAUUUUGACUGUAUUUUCCCCUCAAAAUAUUCUCUUGUAAUUGGUAUCAUAUCUGCCCAGGAACAUCUUGAUAGAAGGAAUGCUGCAAGGAAAACAUGGUUGAAAUCCCUCACUCAAUCAAAGCAAGUGAAAUAUUAUUUUGUUAUUGGAAAGCAUUUUUGUCCAGUGCCUACGGAGGAUAGACUGUUUAUCGAAGAAUGCUCAGAGUGGUCCUCAAAAUGUUUAACUGUAAGUUAUUUCCUCCGUUUUAAGAAAAAUUAUCCAGGAAUAAGUUUAUGCACACUUCUAAUCAGUAGUAUUUAUUUUGACACUACUCAUUAAUAAGGGACUAUUAGCAAAUGAAGUCACAUACAAGGGAAUGAGAGGGUCUGUUUCAGCUCAUCUAGAGAAGGCAGGUGGGACACUUGCCUAGCAUGAAAUUUUUUUGAAAGUUUUACGAUGAGUAUAUUAAUCAGAAUUGCUAUGUUUUAGAUGAAAAUGGAAGAAUUUCAAUAAAAAGGAAUGUAAAUAUCAAAAAGGGUACAGACCAAAAAUGCAGCAAGUUUCUAGUUUCCCCAUUUCUCAAAUUUGUAUUGUAUCAAAAACUUCUCUUUUCUCAAAAUUUUAGAGUGGUACCUUUCCUCCUCUUCCUCCAUUCAUUUACGAACUGAUUGCAAUUUUACAAAAAACAAGCAAUGUUUGUGCCAAUGCGAGUUACCCUCUCAUUUUCUUGUUUAUUGCCAGGCGUUGCAAAGUGUUUUGGGAAGUUUCUGCAACCCUAGUGAGUACAUACAUACAAACUUUUGUGAAAAGUGGGACAAGGUGCCUAAAAUUCAGAAUUUCAGAAUUGGAUAAUUUUUUAUUAGCACCUAACGUUGAUUUUCUUUUAGGAGAAUGUUCCCUUUUAAUUUAAAUCCUUGUGAUAACACUUAUUUACCUAG
rnacentral:lncRNA from 1 species